AUUGAACGCUGGCGGCAUGCCUUACACAUGCAAGUCGAACGGUAACGGGCCUUCGGGUGCCGACGAGUGGCGCACGGGUGAGUAAUACAUCGGAACGUGCCCGAUCGUGGGGGAUAACGAGGCGAAAGCUUUGCUAAUACCGCAUACGAUCUACGGAUGAAAGCAGGGGACCGCAAGGCCUUGCGCGGACGGAGCGGCCGAUGGCAGAUUAGGUAGUUGGUGGGAUAAAAGCUUACCAAGCCGACGAUCUGUAGCUGGUCUGAGAGGAUGAUCAGCCACACUGGGACUGAGACACGGCCCAGACUCCUACGGGAGGCAGCAGUGGGGAAUUUUGGACAAUGGGCGCAAGCCUGAUCCAGCCAUGCCGCGUGCAGGAUGAAGGCCUUCGGGUCGUAAACUGCUUUUGUACGGAACGAAAAGCCUUCUUUUAAUACAGGAGGGUCAUGACGGUACCGUAAGAAUAAGCACCGGCUAACUACGUG
rnacentral:rRNA from 1 species